CCAGGAAGCCCAGAUCACAGGAGAGAAUGAGGCCUGAGAAGCCCAAACCGCAGCUCCACUGAGGCAGCAUUACUAAUUUGAAAUGUUCAAUUUUACUCUAAAUUUUUGGAUGAAAACUUUCAGAGUUCGAAUUUUCACUGAAAACUCAAAUUUUUGGAGAGUUAGGGGAAGAGAAGAAGGCGGGAAAUUCUAGCAGCGCCGCUUCUCCAUGGGUCUCUAAGUGGCAGCUCUCAUGGACUGCAUGGGGGAAAAGCACAGAGUUGGGAAGAAGAAAUUGACAAAUGAGCAGAAUGAACUUUUUGAUCUAGAGUUUUGGUUCAGUUUGCGGCAAAGAAGAGAACCAUGUCCACAUUCCACACCUGUGCGUUCUGUUUUGGUUGGGACCUUGAUCUGCCUCCCCUUAUCUCAUUCUUUCAAAUGUAAAGACCUGUCCUUCCAGAAGGAAGGUAAGUCACAGAGAAGGGUCUCUGGUUAGCAUUGAAGGACUGUUUCUGCCUUCAGACAGAGUGAAUCUUCAAGAAGCUAAGUAUCGAAUAGAAUUGCUCAGAGCCUGCAGUGGAAGCUGUGUGUUAUUUGAUGGAUCACCUGGACAAAAUUUUUGGUGCCUGCCCACGCCGUGUGACUUUGGACAAUGUUCCUGAGGACCACCGAAAAAGUCACCAUGGACCGCCAGUCGAGAACCACAGCCUUAGUGAAAUUAGAGAACCGGCAAAGAACCACUGGCCGUUACAGCGGAGUUGCCCUGGGAAGACAAGGCAUUGACCACAAGCUCGGUGAGAGGAGCGAGGCUCCUGCGGAUCCUACGUCACUUCCUCUUCUGUGCUGCCCUGCCUUGAAUUAACAGCUGGGGCGUGAGUGCCACAACAGGCAACCUCUUCAGCGAGGCCCCAGGCAUGCCCAGGUGUGUCAUAGCAGGCGAGGGAGAAGGGCUGCUUGUGUUUUUCCGAGCCCCUUCCCUUGGCUGCGGCGUCGGAACGAGCAGCGCCUGUGCCGGGAGAAAAACCCAACGUUUCCAGGCCCGCUCGAUGGCUGCAGCUGGUGUCUGUACUAGCGCGGGUCUCAUGUCGGUGAAUAACAACACCUGACUGAGUCGAACAAGAGAUCUUUUUUCAAACACAUUUGAAGAAAAAUGACAGCCCCUGUAGCAGAGAAUGGAAUGGAUGAUAAAUCAUAGAAUGGGGAAAACAAUUGUGUUACUCUUGCUGUUACGAGCUCCUGCAUGGAAAGUCCAUAUGUUAUAUUUCUGAUGACAUAAAUUUAAUGAAACUCUUUUGAGACGCUGACCAGAAGUCAAUAUACAACUCAGGCAAAGAAAUGUCCUAAUGCCUUCCUUUGUUUUUAUAAUAGAUCUGUUGAUGUCUCUCUUUCCCCUCUGUCUCUUUCUCUCUGUCUUAUUAAGCCCAGCGAUAUAAUAUUAUGUGAAAUGACAUCAUGGAAUAGUAGCUCUAAUAUAGCAGCAUUAUCAGAAAUGUCACCCCUAACAAAUUAGCAGUCUUAAUGUUUGCCUUCUGGUCACAGUGUCUUGCUCCUUUUGUCUUCUACUAUAACUUAUAAUAACAAAGCAUGCGAUGCAGAUGGCUGCAAGGGAUGUUUCCAGUUGAUAAGCAUGCAACAUGUGUCGGUAGGGAUAUGGGGGAAAGCAGACUUUAAAAAAAUCCAAACAAAACAUUUCUGGCCUUGGGAACUUCUACUGCAGCUGCUGUCAAUAUACCGAAAGCGGGUUUCUUUUUCUUUUCAUUUAUAACUAAGUAGAAAAACAAUCCCAAGUAUCUUGUUAUGUGAUUCA